rnacentral:rRNA from 1 species
CGGGGUGAGUAAUGUCUGGGAAACUGCCUGAUGGAGGGGAGUAACUACCGGAAACGGUAGCUAUACCGCAUAACGUCGCAAGACCAAAGUGGGGGACCUUCGGGCCUCAUGCCAUCAGAUGUGCCCAGAUGGGAUUAGCUAGUAGGUGGGGUAACGGCUCACCUAGGCGACGAUCCCUAGCUGGUCUGAGAGGAUGGCCAGCCACACUGGAACUGAGACACGGUCCAG